GAGGGGAGAAACGGCCCAGGCAAGCAAAAGAGCAACGAAGACAGCAGCCAAAGCAGCGGCCAAGAUAGCAGCCAAG
rnacentral:SRP_RNA from 15 species